GUGAGUUAUAAGGUGCAAUAGUGCCUAUGUCUUGCACCAGUGCAAGACACAUUAUUAGCCACAGAAUAUGAAUAUUCUAUUAAGAUGCCAUUUGUAUAACCGGCUUGAACUGUAAUAUUUUAUUUGUUAAUUUGUUUUCAGUUUCACUGUUAUGCCCUCACCUCUUCUCUUCUAUCUUUCCUUCUCAUCUCUGUUUCCUUUCACCGGAAACACCAGAUGACGCAGUGCACCACCGCAAGCCAUCACAAACCGUCGUACGCCGUCGCGCACCUCUGUCGCUGGUAUGGGGGUGGGUGGUGGGGUUUGGGACAGUGUGACAGGCAGGGGUUGGAGGGCGGCGCAGCGCAAGGUUGUUUCCGGGGUGUGGUGGGUCGGAUUUGGGACGGUUAAAGAGUACUACCAAAAACUCGAUGGAACAAAAAUCUGGGUUGUUUUAAUGCUAUUGGAGGUUGUUUGCUCCCGGUAUUUCAAUUUAUAAUUUUGCAGCACAAGUUGAACAUAGCAUGACAGCUUUUCUACUGUCAUUUUGAAGAGGUUGAAAUUCAUUGUGGGCUUGUGGCAUUGUGCAGUUCCUUGGAUUUUAUAUUCAAACCACUUGCAACUCAUACUAAUUGGAAGGUGGGAUUGAGGGUAUUAUGAGAGGAACCAUGAUGGGUUUGUUAAGAUGGGUGUUAUGUUGGCAGAGUCGUGCGGGGAUGGAGAUCUGAAUUUUUAAGAUGAGCAGUAAGGGGUAAGGGAGAUGUAGGUGAGGGAGAUAUGGAGUUUUCAGAUAUUUUCCAGGUGUAGUUCUUCGAUUGCCUUUCAAUCUUCUUCACCGGUGAUGUUCAAGGUAAGGUGGAAGAAGCUGAUUCUCGGGCUCGCAUCUCACCAAAACCCAGAUCUGGGCGAAGUUCGAGGUGGUUUGCAUCUCACCAAUUUCACAUCGCUGUUGGUGAUGCAAGUCGUUGAAUCUGGGCGAUGUUGAUCUGCUUCUGAUUGUUUUGUUUCUAAUUCUCUUAGAAACUAGGGUAGUGGUUCUGCAGUCAAGGAUGUCAUGGUGCUCGAAGGUGAGAGACGGCGCGGCGGCGGAAGGAUUCCGCCCGCAAGGAGGCCGGGCUGUUUUAUCAGAGAGAAAGGAGUAUUAGAGGGUGUUUUUGUAAACUUCCUUUCUAUUUAUUUAUUUCAAUUUUUUAACAGCAGGUAUAUAAACCUGAUAUAGCAGGUAAUUUCCCCUCUUGCAUGGUGCAAGACCCAGUCCUCAAGUGCACCCUAACAGCCACCUACUUUUACCUAUCAGUGAGUUUCAUAUGACCACCACUUAUUGAAAGCUCCAAAAAUAUCCAUAACAUGCCAACAUCUAGUCAUCUAUAACAUGUCAUGUACAAAGCAUAAUGUGACUUGGCGGUCAUCUCAAAAAUACCAAUUCCAUAGAAGUAGAACAUGUCAAAGAAUGAGUUUUUUUAUCAUUCUAGAUUUUGACUUCUAUCUAAAACACCUGUCCCAGUUGACUCAUACUUUUCUUCAUCCUAUACUUGUAAUUUAUCAAAGUUAUAUGUUCACACUACAACUAACAAUUCGGUGCCCACUAGGGUGGGGAACUUUCUUUUUGGUCCACCGGUGGACCAGGGGCAUUUCAGACUUUGCAUUCGGGAUAUUUUAGACUUUUCCCCUUCUCCUUCUUCUCCCUCCCACUCUCCCCUCCUCUCACUUCAACCAUCUCCAGCAGCACAGGCACCAUCAGCAGCAGUAGCACUACCAAGAAGAAAACGUCAAGAGGAGUGGGUCGAAGUGAAGAGUUGCAGAUCUGGUGUGAAUCGAAGGGGAGAGUGCCAGAUCUGGUCCGACAGUGGUUGUACGGCUCCGAUCCGGCUCUCAACGGCGAGGAGCAGUGGUGGAGAAAUCUGGGUGUGAGUGGUAGUGUAUCUGGCUCGCUUCUUCAUCUUCUCCAUCGUCUGUGUUUCAGUCUUAGUGAGUCUGGGGCUUGGUUACGCAAAGAAGGGUGCGAUGGAGAUGGAUUUGAGUCUAGGUUGGAGCUUUUUGUGGUUUUUGUGGCAUGGACCAAUUUCUUGUGAGAGAGAAGCGACGGAGAAGAUGAAGGCUGUGGUGGUUUUAGUUAGGGAUUUGGAGGACAAAAUUAAGGAUCCUUUAUGUUAGCCAUUUUGUGGCUCUUCCCCUUAAUUUUUAUUGGCUAUUUCCUUGCUUUGUAGGCUAUGAAAGCCACUGUUAGUACUCGUAUUGUAUCUUUAGGAGCCUGUUCCUAUUGUUUGUUUUUUAGAAUCUUCAUCUUGUUUUCUCAUGUGCUGUCUGUUGGUUCCUAUUGUACAGGUCUCUGACCUUUUCAUUCAUCAAUAUAUAUUGAACUUUAAAAAAAAAAAUUAAGGAUCUUGUAA